GAUGAACGCUGGCGGCGUGCUUAACACAUGCAAGUCGAACGGAAAGGCCCAAGCUUGCUUGGGUACUCGAGUGGCGAACGGGUGAGUAACACGUGGGUGAUCUGCCCUGCACUUCGGGAUAAGCCUGGGAAACUGGGUCUAAUACCGGAUAGGACCACUUCUUGGAUGUUGUGGUGGAAAGUUUUUUCGGUGUGGGAUGAGCUCGCGGCCUAUCAGCUUGUUGGUGGGGUAAUGGCCUACCAAGGCGUCGACGGGUAGCCGGCCUGAGAGGGUGUACGGCCACAUUGGGACUGAGAUACGGCCCAGACUCCUACGGGAGGCAGCAGUGGGGAAUAUUGCACAAUGGGCGCAAGCCUGAUGCAGCGACGCCGCGUGGGGGAGGACGGCCUUCGGGUUGUAAACUCAUUUCGCUAGGGACGAAGCGUUUUGUGACGGUACCUGGAGAAGAAGCACCGGCUAACUACGUG
rnacentral:rRNA from 1 species